AACGAACGCUGGCGGCAUGCCUAACACAUGCAAGUCGAACGAUGCCUUCGGGCAUAGUGGCGCACGGGUGCGUAACGCGUGGGAAUCUGCCCUUGGCUUCGGAAUAACAGUUAGAAAUGACUGCUAAUACCGGAUGAUGUCCCCCUGAGAGAUCUUGGGGACCAAAGAUUUAUCGGCCAGGGAUGAGCCCGCGUAGGAUUAGGUAGUUGGUGGGGUAAAGGCCUACCAAGCCGACGAUCCUUAGCUGGUCUGAGAGGAUGAUCAGCCACACUGGGACUGAGACACGGCCCAGAAUCCUACGGGAGGCAGCAGUGGGGAAUAUUGGACAAUGGGGGGAACCAUGAUGCAGCAAUGCCGCGUGAGUGAUGAAGGCCUUAGGGUUGUAAAGCUCUUUUACCAGGGAUGAUAAUGACAGUACCUGGAGAAUAAGCUCCGGCUAACUCCGUG
rnacentral:rRNA from 1 species